rnacentral:rRNA from 1 species
UACAGAGGUCCCAAGCGUUGUUCGGAAUUACUGGGCGUAAAGCGCGCGUAGGCGGAUGAGUAAGUCGAUUGUGAAAGCCCUGGGCUUAACCUGGGAACUGCAGUCGAAACUGCUUAUCUUGAGUGCCUGAGAGGAUGGCGGAAUUCCCGGUGUAGUAGUGAAAUACGUAGAUAUCGGGAAGAACACCUGAGGCGAAGGCGGCUAUCUGGCGGUGCACUGACGCUGAGGCGCGAAAGCGUGGGGAGCAAACAGG